UUGCUUUGGCAACUGUGGGAUUCCCAGUUUCUUUGUUGUUAGGGUGGCAGAAGGGGAGUGUUGUCACCCUGAGUGUGGAUGAGGAACUGUGAAACUGCUUUAUGACAGGGAAUCUCACCACGAAUUGAGUGGCACUCGCUAGACAAGGGAGUGGGCUCCUUGGGUGAGCCAGAAACUCUGAUUGCACCUGCUUUUCUUUCCAGUCUUGAAUAGCAGAGCUCAUUUAUGGAUUCUGACCUGAGCUGUUUUAAGUAGUGGGGGAGCCUGAAGCUAUAUUGCAGAGCAGAGCGGAGCAGUUUGUGGGACCGCUGGUGGAGCAGAGUUUCCAGAGGAAUUGUCCAGGAGCUGGAGCCGGAGGAGAAACUGGAAGAAGUGAACCUGAGCAGCCUGGAUAUCCUUGUAAGCAGAGAUGAAGAGUCCUCAGCUUUCUGCCUUCUCCAUGACUGGCUGUGAGUGAACAAUUAUGGCCUCUAUCCCUCAUCCGUACCACUCAAGUUUUCUUCAGAGGCCGUGAGCCUCCUUGUUGGCCAUGGGGCUCUGUGGGAUUACGACCAAGGGAAGGGACAACAGUCUCCUCUGCUCAGUGACUGUCUUGGAUGCAGGUGCAACAGGCUGCUUAACAUAUGAACUACCACGGAGAA